AAGUUGAAUAGUAAAAAAUCUUUGGGCGAAAGGCAAAUAGGGCUCAUCCUUGAUUUCAUGAAAUGCUUCCUUCGCUUCCAUGCCAAAUUGAAACUCAUCUUUCUUCCUCAACAUGAGGCUUGUAGACUCGUGACGCAACACGACUGAACGACUUAAUGUUUCAGGUUCACAGGAAGAUUCUGGACAGAAGUAUUCAAACUCUUACUUUCUUCGCCUCCAUGCCAAAUUGAAAGUCAUCUUUCUUCCUCAACAUGAGGCUUGUAGACUCGUGAUGCAACACGACUGAACAACUUAAUGUUUCAGGUUCACAGGAAGAUUCUGGACAGAAGUACUCAAACUAUGGGGUCAAAUAAAAGCUGAACUUCUCCACGAGUCUUCAUCCCCAUUUCAGUUAGGGCAGAUGGCCGAAAGGAUCAAUGCGUUAUUGGAGGAGUACCGCUCCGUGGGGCACUUUGUGAGUGCCAACCGGGUGCAGCUGCUGGACGUAGCACAAUUCUGCUAAAACUUGCAAAAAAGCUCUGCAUCUGUCUGUUCGAGUUAGCGAUAGGCCAGCAACCUUUGGCUCCCCACACGGUUGUGGCCGGCUACACGGGAAGGAGCCCCUCUGCUUACAAGUUUGCUAAGGAUUGGCA
rnacentral:lncRNA from 1 species